CGUGGGGAGGGGACGGGGGGGGGCGAGUUGGCAUGUUCGGUUGCUGUUGUGUAGCCGCCGCCAGUGGCUUCCCAACAGGAAUGCGGCGAGGUUAGUGCAUGCGUGGGGCUUCUGGCUGUGUGGUUGGAGCGGGGAUCCGAGGCGCUGGUGGAAUAAAAGCCAGGAGCGACGGGAGAGAGAUGCUGAUGGGCUGCCGGCUAAUCAAAGGAUACUAAAGCCGAGUGCAGUUCCUGUGUAGAAACUGAGGACAGAAAAAGACCCAUCUGGCUACUCCCUGCUCAUCACUGUGUUUUUUCUAACUCCGUUUGAGUGGCUGGUUCCCUGCUGUCAUUUUGUGCUACCCAUUCUGGACUUGGGAAUCAUCUCUCCUGAACACAUACUUGGUAAGGCCCAAAGAAAGGACCGCUCUUCCCUUUUCUGCAGGGAGCUUCUACCUAAUCCCAUAAAUUGUAAACCACAAUAUA
rnacentral:lncRNA from 1 species